GUCGCGGCUGGGCGAUCGGUGGUGCGCUUGCGAGAACAGGCAGCAGGGACUAGGGUCAUUUCCGUUUACGAUUCGACGUCAUCCACGCUCCCGAAGGCCCGUGUGUUUUUGUGUUUCUUUGGGGCCACGAUGAUUAACGCUAAUUUAACAUUGAAGUUUUUGAAAUUGGAAUUAGGUUUCUUCGGAUAU